rnacentral:lncRNA from 1 species
CACAAAUACAGGAAACCCACUAUUCACACAGAUAGAGUCUUCCCUGUAUUUGCACGCCGUCGCAUAGGUACAAAAUACAACCAUAGUACAUAAAUAAUCAUAUACAUUCACCACAUCACAUAAAUCGAUUCGCAUUCGGUCAUUCACAAGAAUACAAUAUUUUAUUCAUAAAUCCACAUCUAUUUGUUUAAAAUAUUUUUCACACAGAAACUCAUUUUGAAAUACUAAAAGUCAUGAAAAUCGAAAAACCCCUUUUAAAAUCGUUUUACACACGGAAACCUUUUUCUUUAAAAACAAGCUAUCACGAAGGGUAGAAAACUAUUUUUAUAAUCUCACAUGAAAACCACAAGUAUUUUAUUUAACUUUACAAAACCAUAUAUAUAUAUAUAUAUCCAACUAAAAUAAAAGUAACUGAA